rnacentral:rRNA from 1 species
UACGUAGGGAGCAAGCGUUGUCCGGAAUCAUUGGGCGUAAAGCGUGCGCAGGCGGUUUGUUAAGACAGAUGUGAAAUCCCCGGGCUUAACCUGGGAACUGCGUUUGUAACUGGCAGACUUGAGUGUGGCAGAGGGGGGUGGAAUUCCAAGUGUAGCAGUGAAAUGCGUAGAUAUUUGGAGGAACACCGAUGGCGAAGGCAGCCCCCUGGGUUAACACUGACGCUCAUGCACGAAAGCGUGGGGAGCAAACAGG